CCCGGCCACGUCUACUUUUAGUUUUGUCCAUCUGAUGAGUUAAGCCUUUUUCAACUGAUUUUUAUAGUUCGUUCUUAUGUUGUACUGUUAUACCACUGUCCCAGGUUAGGGGGAGGGUUGGGAUCCCUCUAACAUGUUUAACCCCGCCACAUUAUCUAUGUAUGUGCCUGUCCCAGGUCAGGAGCCUGUAAUUCAGUGGUUGUCGUUUGUUUAUG
rnacentral:lncRNA from 1 species